AUUGAACGCUGGCGGCAUGCUUUACACAUGCAAGUCGAACGGUAACAGGUCUUCGGAUGCUGACGAGUGGCGAACGGGCGAGUAAUACAUCGGAACGUGCCUGGCCGUGGGGGAUAACUACUCGACAGAGUAGCUAAUACCACACGAGAUCUACGGAUGAAAGCAGGGGACCUUCGGGCCUUGUGCUACCAGACCGGCUGAUGACAGAUUAGGUAGUUGGUGGGGUAACGGGUUACCAAGCCAGGGAUCGGUAGCUGGUCUGAGAGGAAGACCAGCCACACUGGGGCGGAGACGCGGCCCAGACUCCUACGGGAGGCAGCAGUGGGGAAUUUUGGACAAUGGGCGAAAGCCUGAUCCAGCAAUGCCGCGUGCAGGAUGAAGGCCCUCGGUUUGUAAACUGCUUUUGUACGGAACGAAAAGCCUGGGGCUAAUAUCCCCGGGUCAUGACGGUACCGUAAGAAUAAGCACCGGCUAACUACGUGCCAGCCGCCGCCGUAAAAC
rnacentral:rRNA from 1 species